rnacentral:rRNA from 1 species
AUUAAACGCUGGCGGCAUGCCUUACACAUGCAAGUCGAACGGCAGCACGGGGGCAACCCUGGUGGCGAGUGGCGGACGGGUGAGUAAAGCAUCGGAACGUAUCCUGGAGUGGGGGAUAACGUAGCGAAAGUUACGCUAAUACCGCAUAUUCUGUGAGCAGGAAAGCAGGGGAUCGCAAGACCUUGCGCUCUGGGAGCGGCCGAUGUCGGAUUAGCUAGUUGGUGGGGUAAAGGCCUACCAAGGCGACGAUCCGUAGCGGGUCUGAGAGGAUGAUCCGCCACACUGGGACUGAGACACGGCCCAGACUCCUACGGGAGGCAGCAGUGGGGAAUUUUGGACAAUGGGCGGAAGCCUGAUCCAGCCAUGCCGCGUGAGUGAAGAAGGCCU